GGGACUAUAGCUCAGUUGGUUAGAGCGCACGCCUGAUAAGCGUGAGGUCGAUGGUUCGAAUCCAUCUAGUCCCACCA
rnacentral:tRNA from 1 species